CAAUAGAAUAGGAUUUCUCGAGGGUGGUCGGCACACUCCCAAGUUGAAAGGGGGUGGUGCUGUUUGACGGUAUUUGAAGCGUUGAUGUUUGCCGUAGCGUUUGCGACUUUAAUCAUCGCGGUGCUGUCGUUUCAUGAAAAAAAAUAAUCCACCCUUGAGUUAGCGGCUCAGGUGGAUUCGUCUAUCCUAUGGCCGAUCCCCUUGGAGGGAACCGUUUUAUUGCAUGACCGUCGAUGUUACCGCAUCGGCGG
rnacentral:sRNA from 18 species